GACGGAGGAUGCAAGUGUUAUCCGGAAUCACUGGGCGUAAAGCGUCUGUAGGUUGUUUAAAAAGUCUGCAGUUAAAGGUUGAAGCUUAACUUCAAAAAUGCCGUAGAAACUUUUAAACUAGAGGAUGGUAGGGGUAGAGGGAAUUUCCAGUGGAGCGGUGAAAUGUGUAGAUAUUGGAAAGACCACCGAUGGCGAAGGCACUCUACUGGGCCAUGACUGACACUGAGAGACGAAAGCUAGGGGAGCAAACGGG
rnacentral:rRNA from 1 species